AACCAUGUGGCGGGAUUCAGCACACACUGUCCUGUGCUCUAGUUUUCAGUGAGACUGGGCCAGCCACAAACCACUUCUAGUAGCCCCAAAGUUGACCACCCCUUUUUCUAACAGUUUCCUCUCCUGCAGAAACCUGAGGCCUCCGGAUCUCAUCAGGCAGAGGAAUCUACAUAAUGUGACAAGGAAUCUACAUAAUGUGACGACUUGACAAUUCCACACUCCACGUUCUCCAGGUGCCUGCGUGUGGCGUGGUGAGCGCUCACCCUGUGAGCCAGCAUGGGACAAGCACUCAGGACAGUUUGCUGGAUGAAGCUGAGACACUGGGUCACUGGGUCACUCUGGCUGCCGAGCAGGUGAAAGAGUUUUUCAGAUGUGCAGCGAGGUGUACCCAGUACAGGCCCGAGCAGAGGGAGCCUCGCAGCAGCUGAGGGAAGAAGGGGCUCAUGUGUAGGAAGAACCCCAGGCAGCCACGGUCUUGCCUCUUGCUUGCUCUACUGCCUCCAGUUCAGACUGGGGGUCAAGGCCCCUGUGGAAGGCAUGCCCUCCCAGCACCCACAUCCCAACACGUGUGUUCAGACUGGUGAGGAGGACCCUGCUCCUUGACACACUCAGCGAGCCCACUCCUGGACUUUGCUGUCCUCAGAGACCAGGGGCGUCAGGGUCUCAACGAUGCCAGGUCAGGGCAUGCAGCACUGCUGCUGGGAGUCAGAAGGACUGUUGGCACAACGCCGAUGCUGGUUGCUUGGUGAGGGAAGAGGGAAGCACGUGAUAGGGACCAUCCAGAUGUCAGAUUCUUCAGGGCCUCCUCCUAGAGGACCCCAGUCACCAUGUGUCAAACAGAGUAACCUUCCAGGAUGGCACAUGUGGUCUGACAAGGGGCUUUGGAAGGUAGUUUCAGUCCGCUGUUGUUUUUUGUAUGGAUGACCUGGGGCCUCUGGGCUUUAGUUUUCCCAUCUGCAAAAUGGAGAUGUUGAUGUGUAAUUUUGAGACAGACCAUCUAAAAGCCAUCGGCAAGAAUGGAGGUCAAAUGAUUUCGAUAAUUGCAGCUGCACACGGGGCUAAAAUAGUUCAAUCUGAGAGUUGAGGGGGUGGGAGGUGAGAAUGGCCUUAGAUGAGGGGGCCUCACUGCCACUGAGGUCACCACCUUUGCCAGCACAUGGAGACGGGCAUGGUGACCUCCUCCCACCUCUGGUUGCUCAUCACUUUGAGGCUUUGGCUCCUCGGAUUUCCCUCAGCACUAAUCACUCUUUUUUUUUUUUUAUUGCUUAUGGUCGUUUGUUGCUCUUCUCUAUUUAGUUAUGAAGUUGACCUUAAAUGCAGUCCAUAACAUCCUAUCCUUAUCCUCUUUUUUAGUGAAUUUUUUCCAACAGAUAGUUAUGGCAGUUUCAAAGCUUUAGCUGCAAAUUUCAGAAAUCCUAAAUCAAGAUAGCUUAUAUAAUAUUGGAGAGUUAAUAGUUUGUUAUUAAAUGGCCCAGAGACAGAUCUUCAGCCAAAGUUUGAUCCAGAACCAAAGAUGACAUCUGGGACCAGUUUCGUUUCUCUCUUCUGUCCUCCCUCAUACUAGCUUUUCUUCAAGCUGUUCCCCAUCAUGAUCCUGAGAUGACCACCGUGACUGCCAACUGCUUCAGUGUUCUCCUCCAUCAGGAAAGAGUGCUUGCCCUUCCCAGCAAAACCCUCAAGAUUUAUUUAUGUAUUUUUCUUGCAGAGCUGGGGAUGGAACCCAAGGCCUUGUGUGUGCUAGGCAAGCGCUCGACCACUGAGCUACUUUCCCAGUUCCCUCAGGAUUGACUUUGACUGGUGAAUUUAGGCUACAUAUCCACUUUGAAUAAGUUUCUGGCCUAGGGAAAUAAUGCACUGAGUAAUUUAGCCUAAGUGACAUCCCCCAUUGCUGGGGAUGGAGGUAGGUUUCAUUUUUUUUCAGAACCUCAUUUCGGCGCUGAUAAGGAAGCGAAUGUGGAGACUCUGAUGCUGAGGAGGCCACUAACCAUGCUGCCUUCCAUGAAGAACCACAAGGCCCAAAUGCUUGAAGACUUUUCCAUUUGAAAACCAGCGUGCGUACUGCUUAAACCAAGGUCAAGGCAUCUGAUGUGACACCAAGUGGCUUUCAUCAACAGGCAUGAGGAGCAGUCUGAACCUUUGCAUUUUCUGAUGUUACAAAACACUGGGUUCUGUACUUCAGUGCUCUCGCCAGGGAAGCUUUCUUGUUUGUGCAUUUCAGCCAUUUUCAACAUGCUCUAAAUUGAAACAGAGAAUGUAUUUUUUUCUUUCUAGUGUUAAAAUCCAAUAAGCAGCGGCACACUGCAGGAAGUCGGUCUAGCCACAGCAAAUCUGUACUUGUUUUUGUGAGAGAGGAUGGGAAGAAUGAAUAUUUGCCCUGUGGCAUCAAUUUCCUGUUUAAUGUUCUCCAAGAAGUGUUUGGAAAAUGCCCAGCUACACAGAUGUACGUAAAUACCAUACAUAACUUGUUUCUGAGUGGGGGGGAGCAGUCUGUGAAGUGGGGACAGGGCUGGCUUGCUUGCCUCCAGAUAGCUGGUAAGCAACUACCUUUGACCUGGUGAUCUGGGGACUAGAUUAUCCGAGUUUGGCACUGGAAGGAAAGCAGCAUAGGAAUAGCGUGGCUUCUUAGACUAUGUUCUUACUCGUGUGUGUGUGUGUGUGUGUGUGUGUGUGUGUAUCAGGGAUAGAACCCAGGGGUGCUUAAUCACUGAGCCACAUCUCCCUUUUUAAAAUUUUAUUUUGAGAUUUUGAGAGAGGGCUUUGCUAAGUGGCUGAGGCUGGCCUUGAACUGGUGAUUCUCCUGGAGUGGCUUCAAUUACAGGUGUGUGCUAUCGCACCUGGCUUGUUCUUAUUCAUUUAAGGCUACUUUUAUCCCAAAGUUUGCAUAUUCUUAUUGGAGAUGGCCUAUAAGAAAUGUAUAUUAAGAGGAUGGUUUUUAAAAACAAAACAGUUCCCUGCAAACAGAAGCCCAUCUGUAAGACGGACAGACACAAAUCUGUUUGUGCAAAGGUGUGCACACACUGCCUAGCGCCUCUUCCAGGGCAGUUUGUAUGCCCCACACAUGCCUUCAGAUCAUCUUAUAUAAAAGGCGAUGGCUGGGUUGGAGGACCAAACUCUUAUUUUUGUUUUAGCAACCAAGCUACAGGGCUACUCUAGAAGUUAAGACCUUGAUCCACAAAGGAAGCUUUAGAGGUAAAGAAUCUGUCCUCUCAUAUAUAAUUUUCAGAUGCCUCCUAAUAAGGCAAGGUGAGAAAUGAAGCCUAUGACCUGUUAAACACCUACGAUGUGAACGGAAGGCCUUUCUAUACAUUGUGACCCAUCCUCACAACAUCCUGUGUUGUGCUCCCUCUCUCCUCCUCUUACAGAUGAGGAAACUGGGACUUAGAGAAGGUAAACUACAGCUCAGGGGCUAGUGAUGCCUGCAUUAAACUCAGUGCGGGUCUGGUUGGUCCUGAAGCCUUAUACAUUCUUCUCAGAUUUAGAAACUGUUACUCUAGCAUUCACAGAUGAGCCUCAGAAAAUUCUCAAGAGCCUAGUUUUCUGUGUAAAUCUGUAAGUGUGUGUUCAUGUGUUCCUAACACUCAUGGGAUUUAUCAGCUGUGUUUCUGGAGCCUGGCACAGACUUCUUCCCUCCCCUUUCCUUGUGCACCCCCCAACCUCAGCCCCUGGAAACUGCCACUCUGGUCUCUACUUCUGUGUGCUCAACUGACUUAGAUUCCACCUGAACAUGAGAUAACAUAAGACAUGUCUUUCUGUGUGUUUUAUUUCAUUUAAUGUAAAGUCCUCCAGGUUUGACUAUGUUGUCACAAGUGACACACUUUCCUGUUUUUUAAUUAUUUGUUAGUGGCUGAAGAAUACUCAGUUGUGUGUAUAUACCAUGUUUUUAAAACACACCCUUUUCACCAUGAACACUUUGUUUCCAAAUCUUGGUCACUGUGAAUGAUGGUGUCUUAAAAAGAGGCGGCCCACCUCCCUUCAGCAUAUCGAUUUCAUUCCUUCGGGUCCACCCGGGAGUGGGAUCACUGGAGUAUGUGGUGUUUCUACUUUUGCUUUUUUUUUUUUUUUGGAGAAACCUCCACACUGCUUUCCACAAUGGCUGUGCUAAUUUGCAACACCACCAACAGUGAACAGGGUUCCCUGAGCCCCGCAGCCUGGCCAACAUGUGUUAAUCUUUCAUCUUUUUGAUAACCGCCAGUGGCACAGGUGUGAGUUGAUACCUCAUUGUGGUUUUAAUUUGCAUUUCUCUGAUGAUUAGAGAUGUUGAGCAUUUUCGCAUAUCACUUUUGGCCAUUUGUGAUUCUUCUUUUGAGAAAUGUCCUAUUCCAGUCCUUUGCUCAUUUUAAAAUGGGGUUGUUUCGUUGUUGUUGAGUAGGCUGAGUCCCUGGUAUGUUUUGGACACUAGCCCCUCUCCUCUGAUGCAUGGUGUGCAGAUGUUUCCUUCUAUCCCUGGAGCUGUCUUUUUACUACUGUGGCCCUCGCUGGGCAGAAGUUCUGGUGUCCCAUGAUUCUGUCUUUGUUGCUGUCAUUGCUUGUGUUCUCAGGGUCCUACCCAAGAAAUCCCUGCCCUGAUCAAUGUUUUGGAGCUUUUCCUGUUUCCUUCAGGUAUAGUUUCAGGUCUCCCAUCAGAGUCUUGGAAAGGUAGGCACAUGAUAAACAUCUGUCCAGUGAUCAAUAGGGGUUCAUGACACAAAGGUCUGGGAGCCACUGAACCUGGUAUGGUUACACUUGUCCCGUCAUCUAUGCAAUGGCUUUGUUUUGGAUACACGCAAUCAUUCUUUAAAAAACAAAUGUUUAAAAAUGCAAGAUUUUGUUAACAGGCCAUUUGAAACUAUUUGAUAUUCAUAUAAAAAGAUUAAAAAGUUUAGACAAUAUCGUCCAAGGAUGGUUUUUCUUAAAGCACACCAGUGCAAAGGUCCCUGGAAACUCUGAAGACCCACACCUAGAACAGAGAUAUCAUGUGAGCUACAAACUCACACCACAUUUGUAAUUUGAAACUUUGUAUUAGCCACAUUUUAAGAAGUAAAAAGAAAUAGGUAAAACUAAUUUUAAUAAUACAUUUUGUUUAACUCAAUACAUCUAUCUACAAAUAUUAGCAUUUCAGUGGGCGAGCAAUGGCAAAGAUCUUUGAGUUAUUUUACAUUAUUUUUUUCACACUCAAUUUUACAUAUUCGAUGUGUAUUUUACCCUCAUUUCAAGGGUCACCUGGGUUUGUGGCCACCAUAAGGAAGAAGGCCACAUGGAGACUUGGGUAGGUAAAAGCCGGGGCAAGGCUGACCAAGCUGGAGAAGGGUUUGGGCCUGUGGGGACACACUUUGGUGAUCCCAGGUAGAGGGGUGUUGGGUCAGGCCGCUGCUCACGUUGCCAAUAUUGCAGAUUUUCAGGUGGUUAUGGAGGCACAGCCCCCGGCAUUUCAGCAGAAGUCUUCCUUUUCCCAGAGUCGCUGUCUUUUCCUUUGAAACGGACGCACAGAUCCUGCGCACACUAGGGGAAGAUGUGAUGCCCAGUAACUAAGUUACACCCCAUAAUUACAAUAAUUUGUUCUUCACCUGGAACAGAGGAUCCAGGUGUUUUAUGGCACAGGAUGGAGGUAGUCCUGGCCCCUUGGGGGAAGAGGACAGGACAGAGGCCCCAGAGCUGCAUCCCUCCCCACCUGAGGAUAAAAGAAGGAGGCUGCAGGGAGCCUGAGGACAGAGGUUUGAGGACAGACCAGGCCACAGAAGAGCCUGGAGUUUUGUUCUGACCUUGACCAGCUUUGCUUAUAGUUCCUUCCUGUCUCUUGAUGUCAUCAAGGGUUUCGCACAGGGUGUGGCCCUGCUCUCUCCAAAGCCCUGGCAUUCAGCACACUUACCACACCUCUGUCACCAGCCAGAGCAGCCUCGUGAUCUGGAAACCACACUCAUUCUGAACUUUUCAGUGACUCCACAUGACGGGCAUAAUGUUGUCUUCCUCCAUAAGAAUCUUAAAUCCAUUUGGGAGGUUACAGUUAGGUUUGCAUGGGUACCAUACCUAGAAUUCCCCAAACUGAGGAAUUAUCUGAAUCCAUAGGACACAAUUUCAUUUUAUCCAUUUGCUUUUGGCUGAUGUUGGAUGUAAACUUUAAAGGAAAAAAUACCUAUGCCACUGAGGAAAGUAGAUAACCUGUUCAUUUGACAAAUUGUAACAACAUCACAGGAUCCUGAUAAAUUAUGAAACAUUGAUGAGGUAAACUCAAACUUUCAGAGAGUAGAAUGACACUCUGCACCCAUAUGAGUGUUGAAAAACGCUGCCAUCACUAUUACCCACCUCUACUGUUACCGCCACCAUCACCAUCAUCACCAGCACUGACACCCCAUAAAUAAUGCCAUUGCCACUAUCACUAGUGUAGCCACCACCACCGUUACUACCGCCACCAUCACCAGCACCCUCACAAGCCUUGCCACCACUGUCAUUGUUACCAUGGCCACCAUCACUAGCGCUGUUGCCAAUACACCUUUCUUUCAUCAGUCCAUUGGGGAAAGAACCUAGCAAAAGAAUGUCUGACAGGGAAUAUCCUCUGCACUGGGGGCCACAUCUUCCUAGCAGGUUAAGGGGCAUGGGGUGGUGUGAACUGGAAAGUGCAGUGUUUGUAAACCGACCCACAAUCCUAGCCAUGUCUUGCUCUUCUUCAAUGACGUCAAGUGACAUUGCUUCCUGAACUAAGAAAGCAAUCGGAGACAGCUGAACUCCCAUGGGGAAUGAGGAGAUGAGAAUGCUUAAUUCUUCAUUCAUAAUGGAGAGAGUCAGCAUGUGGAGGAGCGGACGGGUGGGUGAUGACUCAUGUUCCCUGCACAGGGUACAACCCCCGAAUAAGGAGGCUGUUCCUACAGGCAUAUAUGAAAACAAGGCUCAGGAUUGCAGUCACCAGCCGUGGAAGAUCUCUGACUCAUGUGGUUGAUUUCUAAUUCCUUCUGUGGCAGAGCCGUGCCCCGAUUAUGGCCAGUGUGUAAGCUUGAGCAGCUGAGGAGGACAGAUCUGGAGCAAGUUUCCCAAUUCUUUGAGUUUCAGCGUCUUCUGCCAAUUGGGCUCAUUCAGAUUAAGGUAGAAAUGCAUCAUUCAUCACACAGGAUCCUCAAUACUUACCAGGAAUGAUGCUGUGCUUUCCUCAUCUCUCUCAACCCCCUCUGCUUCCCUGGGAAAGAGGUAUUAUCACCAUCUUCAUCUGACAAAUGCAGAAACCAAGCUCAGCAAGAAGGUCACAGAAGACUUCUACUGUACAAUGAGGUUUCUUGAACAUGCAAGCCAUGUGAUCUGCAAACGUUUACACAUCAAUGGGAGAUGAAAAUUGCCCAAACCCCAAAUAGAAAUACAUAUAGAAAAGCUCACCAAGCUGGAACAACUGGACCAUUUCAAAGGAAAUGCAGUUUGAUUAUUUUCAAGUACAUACAGUAACCAGAAAAAUCACUAACAAGUGCUGGUGGUUCAGGCCCAGAUUUAGUCAACAGAUAAAAACAAUUACCAUGUCUAAGAUAUUCUGGUCUUGCUUAUACUUUGAAUAAGUGUUUUACAAAUAAAAGAAACCUCAAGUGUUGCAAAACAAAUUAUUUUCUUUGGUAAGUAAAUGAUUCUUUUCAAAUACUAUUUAUACUAUUCAUUUACUUACUAAGCCAUUUUUCAUAGAUAGCACAGGGUAUACACUUCAGCUCAGUUCCUUUAAAAAGGAAAGAUUAAAAAUGUCCAGAUCAAAAAGCUUUUAUUGUAAAUGUUGAAAUUUCUCAACAGAUUAACUUAUUUGUCUUUUAGUUCUCUAGAGUAUGAUGUUUUGAAUAAAUGUAAAUUUAUAACAUGCGCAGAAUUUUUGAGAAAUGCAAUAUUUUCUCAAGUUACAUGUUUUUAUCAUUCCUGAGUAUCCUUUAUAAUAGAAUGGAAAGACGGAGAAGGUAGGGUUCUGACUCUGGGCUUUGACAACAUUGCUAGUAGGUCUGCUCCAUUCGCUUUGGUGGACCAGAUUCGGCCUGGCUUGGGGCAUGUCUCGGGGGUGUGGGAUCUGUCAGCUGUUAACCCAUGGAAAAUACGUGAAAUGUGUUCCCCCUUAAAGUUAAUGAAUUAUUGCAAACUGAAAAAUGGGAUUUAUUAAAUAUGGUGGUCCUGGACCGUGCCAAAUCAUUGUGGUUUUUUGGGAACACAGCAAGGUAGCCAGUGGUAUUGCAGUGCGGGGUCGCAGCCCGUCCAGCUGUGGAGCACAUGAUCCUUACUUGGGAGGACAAAUGGCAAUAUUUUUCUAUCCCUGGAGUACAUUCUGCUCUUGAUAUGCCUGCAUAACCACAACGAACAUUUAGUGGGAGUUGCAUACAACGGAGACUCAAGGACUACACUUCUGUCGCCCAAACGAAAAUUCCUUUGGUUGAUCUCUGUCCAGAGCAAGAUUUUCCCUAUCACACAAACAACUAUGUUUGUAUUUUAACUCCAUUUUGUCAGGAUGUCUUUCUUUAUAAAAGCCAACCAAACAUCUGUAAUAAAUUUUUGAUGAUGUGGUAGUUGGUUUUCACUGCAUAUUUAUGGAUUCAACCAAAUUCAAAGUUCAGUAAACACAUUUUAAUCGCCUGUUUUCUGACCAGCAGUGUGACCUGCAUAGGCAAUGGAAGAGCAACAGACUGUGUCCCCUGUGAACUUUCUGUUUGGAGAGAUAUGUCAUGUGCAGCUAGAACCAUGAACACACAGAGCGGAAGAGACCUUGGGGGAUCAUGCUGUCUUGGGGUUCAGUGUGCAAACUCAGAGUUUGCACAACUAGUAAAGCAUAGAGACUGGUUGGCACUAUGUCCUGUGUCUGUACCCAGUGCUAAGGGACAGCUUCUUUCUUACUUGGUAAGUUUUCUGGCUUGCAGAAUGUGGGUCUCUUGUUGCCUAAUCUGACUUUUUUCAGAGGCUAGGAUUCCAAGUGUCCUAAAAUUUCCCAAUUUUUCAACCUUGCCAACUAAUUUGAGUUUUCCUAAGAUUAAAUGAAACACAUCUGUGAGCCUUAUCCUACCUCUGGCCUGCCGUUUUGCAGCCUCUGGUCUAGAGUAAUCCUUCUAUUUUUGUAGAUGUAGAAAAUGGCUUUCCAAAGCAUGGGCGCUAUUAUCAGGACUCCCAGUUCAAAGCUCUGUCACUAACUACACCUUUGCUCAACAAGAAAACAACCAGAUGACUCACAAAGAAAGACACUGUAGUUACAAAGCGACAUGUUAAAAGUCUCUUAGGAAAACGAAAUUAGGGUGGGAGGAGAAAUUAGGUGGGAGGAGAAGAAAUGGAGAGUUCAUGGCAGGAAGAAUUGAAGGAGGUUUUUGCAAAUGACCUUCAAGCUAGAUCUUGAAGUAAGCGACUGAUAAAUAUUGACAAAAGAACAACAAAGAGGUAGAGGAGAAUAAAGUGAGGAAAAUACAUGGCUAGGGAUUUACAAAUGGCUUUGCAAGACAGCACAGAGAACAGCUGGCCUGGCUGGGGAGGAAAAGUCAGGCCACUCAUUCAUUCAACAAAUAUUUUUUAAGUUCAAAUAUGUUCCAGGCACUGUUCUAGGCUAUAGGGAUACAAAAGUGCACAGGAGAGCAAGUUCCAGGCUCCAUGUGGGUUAUUUAUUCCAGUGGUAGACAGAUGACAACCAAGUGAACUAGGGUAAGAUAAUACGAAUAAAAUAAAACUAAGAAACGUAAGUAAAGCAGCUGUGAGUGUCCCAAAUUCACUGGGAUGGUCAGGGAAGGCCUCUCUGAUGAGAUGGCAUUGUGCAGAGUCUCUAGUGAUUAGGAACCAGUCAUGCAAUGAACUGAACAAGGAGCUCUCGAGGCAGAGGGAGAGACAGGUGCCCAGGGCCUCUGGUGGGAAGGAACGGAAAGAACGAGUGUGGCUACUGCUGAGGGGGGGUUUGGUAACCGUGGUGGAAAAUGAGUCCGAAAGACAGGCAGGUACCUCUCAGGCCUUGGUAAGGAAUUUGGAAUAAAAUAAGGUUUCUUGCAGGGAGGAAGCAUAAGCUGAUUGUCGAUAGAGCAUUUCCAGCCCAGAUGUAGUUAUCACUUGACACCUGGUAAGAAAAGAGGCAGAUCAUGAUGGUGGUGGAAUUGAAGCUGGGGAGACAGUUGGUUUCUAGGAGAUGCUAUAGAUUCUUAUGGGCAGAGCAAGGAUGAAUACAGGGCCUGGGGUCUCUGCUGUCCAGAGAGCAGAAGGAUUUCAGCCAAAAGUGGUGGAAAAAGUGAAGAAGAAGAAGCACUCUUCAAUGAACACUCAGCCGGAGGACUCCAUGCAGGUCCCAGCGAAGGAAAAGAGCAGAACUACGGACAGGAGCUGCCGAGUCUCAGAGCAGGAGAUCUGUUGGAAGUGGCCUUGGUGAUGAAGAUGAGAGGAUCCUAUCUGGACUUUAUCUUUUAGGGAGUCCUGAGACAUGUCUUAUAGGCAACCAGAAAUACACAAGUAGAGAGGCCUGGGACUGAAAGGACAGGGCAGGAGAAAAAAACCGAAAGUGCUCUUUGUAUCAGUUGAAAUGGAGGCUAACAAGAAGCGGAUCUUCCCGAAGGAAUACAAGGAGGAGAAGCCAGUCGGAGACCAAACUGAAUAUAUCCCAGCACAAGUAGGCAUUUGUCGUUUUGUUUUUUAGACUGAUCUGUUGGUUUAAGGGAAAAAGUCAAAGACCUUUGUGAAUUUGGGCUUGGAAAAAAAUAGCUUGCUGGAAGUCAGAGGCUAUUCUUUAUUGAUUUAAUAAACACAAAUGUUUUAUGAUAAGGAAGUAUGAUCUAGAACAAACUUUAAAGACACAUUCAAUUUAGGCUCAGUUGGAUGGCUUCUAAUAUUUUCCUGAAAACUCCAAUUUCACUAUGGAGUCUAAGGCUGAUAGUCCUGAGCUUAAAAGCUCUCAGUUUGCAAACAAAACAAAACAAAACUUCAGGCAGUCUUUUUAAACAUGUAUUUUUAUUUUUAAUUGCCAUUAUAGUAAAUGUAUAUAUUUAUGGGGUAGAGUAUAACAUUUUAAUACAUGCAUGGAAUGUGUAAGAAUCAGAUCAGUGUAACUGACAUAUCUAUUACCUCAGACAUUUAUCUUUGUGUUGGGAACAUUCAAAACCCUCUCUAGUAUCUAUUUUGAAAUAUUGAGUUAAUUGUUGACAACCAUUAUUAUCCUACCAUGCUAUAGGACAUUAGAAGUUGUUCCUCUCAUCCAACUGCUGUAACCUCUGUAAGCACAACCUCCCCUUCCUGCCAUCUCCCUCCCCCAGAUCCUCCCCAGACUCUGGUAACCACUAUUCUAUUCCCUACUUCUUUGAGGUCAACUGCUUAGCUUCCACGUGUGUUAGUCAGUUUUCCAUGACUGUAAUACCUGAGUAACCAACUUAAAAAGAGGUUUAUUUUGGCUCUCAGUUUCAGAGGAACCAGUCCCUGAUUAGGUGGCCCUGUGGCUUGCAGCUUGUGGUGAGUCAGCACAUGGUAGAUCAACCUACUCUGGACAGCUAGGAACCAAAACGAGAGGAAGAGGAUGGGCCAGAGGCACAAGGCCCCCUUUAAGGGCACGCCCUCCUAUGUCUAGAAGACUUGUAACUGGGCCCAACCUCUGAAAGGUUUCACACCUCUCAGGACACCAUGGUCUGGGCACCAAUCCCAAGCCUUUAACAUGUGGGCCUUUGGAAGUCUUAUCCAAACUGUAGCCACCUGUAAGGGAGAACACGUCCUACCUGUCUUUGUGUGCCUGACCUAUUUCACUUAACAUAAAGUCCUCCAGUGCUGGCUGUGUUGCUGCAAAUGGCAGAAUUUCAUUCUUCUUAUGGCUGAAUAGUAUUCCACUGGGCCAUAUACCAUGUUUUCUUUAUCCAUUCAUCUGUCAGUAGACACUAAGGUUCAUUGUCUUGGCUCUUGUGAAUAGAGCUGCCAUAAACAUGGGAGUAUAGAUGUCUCUUAGGCAUAUUCUCUUCAAUUCUUGGAUUUAUACCCAGUGGUAUGAUUGCUGAAUCAUAUGGUGGUUCUAUUUCUAGGUUUUUGGGUUCUCUCUCUCUCUCUCUCUCUCUCUGUGUGUGUGUGUGUGGUGCUGGGGAUUAUACCCAGGGCCUUGUGCAUACCAGCUCUAUCAGCUGAGCUAUACCCCAGACCUAUUUCUAGUUUUUUUUUUUUAAUAAUUUUUUAUUCUUUUUUUUUUUAAUAUUUAUUUUUUAGUUUUUGGCGGACACAACAUCUUUGUUUGUAUGUGGUGCUGAGGAUCGAACCCGGGCCGCACGCAUGCCAGGCGAGCGCGCUACCUCUUGAGCCACAUCCCCAGCCCCUCUAGUUUUUUUUUUUGAGGAAACUCCACAGUUUUUCAUAAUGGCUGCACUAAUUUACAUUCUUACCAACAGUGCAUGAGAGUUCCCCUUUCUCUACACCCUCACCAGAGUUUGUUAGUUGUUUUUUUGAUGACAGCCGUUCUAACUGGAGUCCCACGAUAUCUCUUUGUGGUUUUGAUUUGCAUUUCCCUGAUUGCUGAUGUUGGGCACCUUUCCUACACCUGUUGGCCAUUUGUAUACCCUCUUUUGAGAAAUGUCUAUUUAGGUCCCUUGCCCAUUUUUAAAUCAGAUGAUUUGUUUUGGGUUUUUUUUUUUCUUUCGCUGUUGAAUUGUUUGAGUUUCUUAUAUGUUCUGUGACAUAAUCCCUUGCUAGAUGGAGAAUCUGCAGUUAUCUCCUUCUGAUCCACAGGAGCUGUUCUUUCUCUGUCCAGUGCUUCCUCCAUUCUGCAGAAGACUAUGGUUGGGUGAAACCCUGUCACCUUUGCUUUUGUCACCAUACUUUUGGGGUCAUAUCCAAAGAAUCUGCCCAGACCAAAGUCCUGGAUCAAUUUCUCAGGCAGCCUUUUAAACCAGCUCUUUAACCAUGAAAAAAUAUUAAUUUUAUCUUUCAACAAAAGUUAAAUUUGACAAGGUCUUUACUAGUAGGAGAGUAAUUGUUUUAGUCUAGCACAGAGCAGGAGAUAAUGUAAAGAAGCAGGAUUUGAGUGUUGGACCCAUGACUACUGUCAGUCAAUUCCUCUUAAAAAGAGGAAUCAGCACCAUCAAUUGAUUAAGGUGGGAAAAAGCAAUGACUAGCAUUGCCAUUCGAGUUGCCACUGUGUGUCUUCUUCAAAGAAAUUCAAAGAAAAUUAACGAGACCACUCAAGAAAAUUCUAAAGGAAUUUUUUAAAACUAUUUUUUAAAAAUGUUUCUUUUAUUAUUUUUUUAUUUGUGUUUGGGAAAACUACUAUUGUUUUGUAAACAUUACAUGUUUGCCAGUGUUCAUCAUUAAGAAUCAAAACAGCAUAAAUCUGAAUGUAGGGAAAAUCAUCUCAAUUUCCACCCCAUGACAUUAUCAUUUUUAAGAGUAUAAAAAUAUUUUCCAGGUGGGAGGAUGGGUAGGUAAAAAUGUAGUAGGGAUUUGGAGGCUGAGGCAGGAGGAUCACGAGUUCAAAGCCAGCCUCAGCAAAAGUGAGGUGCUCAGCAACUCAGUGAGACCCUGUCUCUAAAUAAAAUACAAAAUAGGGCUGGGGAUGUGGCUCAGUGCUGGAGAGUCCCUGAGUUCAAUCCCCAGUACCAAAAGAGGAGUAGGGAGAUAGAGAAUUGUUUUAUCUUAUGUUUUUGGUGCUUGGAUGGAACCGGGAACGCACAUGCGUGAGGCAGUGCCCUACCACUGAGUUCUACCCCUAGCCCGGAGAAUGGCUUUUAAAAAAGUUGGAUUCUGUGGUGCUUUGUACAAUGUAUUACAUGUAAUUUGACCUGGAUUUCAAUACAGUAAAAAGAAAAAGAAAAGGCAAAAAUAAGUUGAAAAAAAGGUAGAAUAAAUAUUGGGAACCCUGAGAGGCCCUUGCUCUUUGGCCUCGGUGACCCUGUACAAGGUGUGCUAAUUUGUGAUUUAAUAGACAUUGAUCAGGUUUAUGUGCAUUACGUUAAGGUACAUAUUGAACACUUCAUUUUGAUAUAUUACCCUCAUUAACUUUCAUGUUUAAUCCAAUUCAGUUAUAGUGUAUGGGAGCGUCUUUUGUGGGAACAUACUUUCCAUUGAUACAGGCUAAAAGCUGGGAGAGAUAAAAUGAUCCAGGAAGUUCUCUCUUUGCAUGAUCCAGGAUAUGCAUGAACUUCAUCUACCACAUUUUCAUUAAAUAAUGCCUGUUCUCCACUAAGAAUUCAAGUUUCAGUUACCAAGGUCUAUUCAUCAUUAACUGUAUAAAGUACAAACUCCGCUACACACAAAUCACUACGUAAAUAGCGAAUGCACAUCAGGAUCCCUGGACAACAAGUCACUUCCUAGAGACAGGGAUGGGCCCCUAUGUGUCUGUGGUUGUCACCCUUAGAGAGCAAGGCGAGCAGCUAUGUUUCCUUCUUAUCUCCCAGUGAUUCUCCCUGGUGAUAUUUCUGCAAGGGGCUAUCAAAGAAGUGAAUUGAAACAGAGAUGAAAGUGCAGGAGGAAAUGAAAAGUGACGGUGCUGGAGGUGCCACUUGAGUUCAGGGUGGAUGGCGCCACUGAGGACAGAGCUGAUGGGGCCACUGGGACACUGCAGGGUUUGCAGAGCCUCUGGGUCUGCAGCUGGGCAGGAUGCAGGAAAACACUUCACAUUAAAGAAACCUUCGGAGAAAUGUCCUGACGGUAAAAGGGCAGACACUACACUGUGGGGAAGGAAUCUAAACGUAGAAAGGAACAUGACAAGGUGCCACGUGUAGGAAAGAGAUGGUGAGCUGUGUAGAGGAAAGACCAGUGCUGUGGGCUGCCCUGGAUGAGUUCUGGAAGAAGCAGGGUGCUGGAGUCUGCGGUGUCUCUAAGGUUUUCAUUAAGGUGCACUGAGGACACGUCAGUUUUGUUGUUUUCAUUUUCCUGUACAUUCACAAUCGACUAUGGGAGAGAUUUUUAUGUUCUCACAAGCCUCUUUCAAGUUCUGGAAUGAUCAUUCAUGCUGAUAUUGAAACUGCUUCCCACGGCCCUGCGGGUGGGUGGUUUCCACAGUCCUCAUCUGCUGUGCAAAGACAGCUCGGCCUGGACUUCAUGUAUCGUGCAGAUUAGCACGAAUAUAUAUUUUUGUCCCCAUAUCAUGUAUCUUGACUCCCUCGUUAGAUUUUAAGCUACUUACUUGCAGGAAUAAGACCUUCUACAUUGCCCACUCCACCUGGCAUAGCACUGAACAUUUGCUAAGUACUUAGUUGACUUCUUAAUCACUUAUUCUUAUGGUGAAUGACCGGGUAUUAGUAAAGUGUGAAGUCAUAAUAAUAAAUACUAUUUGUUUCAUUAGAGAGUAAGUUUUUCCCAUUUUAUUUUUCACAGUUAGGGCUACAAAAUAUGGCCCCAGAUUGUUUCCUGCCAGUUCCAGGUGUCUGUUCCUGUGGAGGAGGAAGCCAAUGGUGGGGGAUCUGCCUUUGUACAACCUGUGCCAGCUCAGGGCAGCCUGGUACAAUCCCUAGCCCCUUAAACAAUGCCUGCCACAGCAGAGGCACAUCAUGGAUGAUUUAAAUAAAAAUUAUUAUGACUGUGCAUUGCACAUUACUCUGUGCCAGAUGUUUUACAUUCAUUUUCUCAUUUAAUCCUUAUGAUAAUUCUAUGGCCCCCAUAUUACAGAUGAGAAAAGCUUGGCUCAGAUAUUAAGUGCCUCACCCAGAAUGGGCAUGUUGGAGCUGGAAGUUGAAUCAGGGCUGUCUUUCUGUGUCUGGGCCAUUACCCUGAUGAUAAGCUGGCAGCAGGGCCAUCGUGUGAUGUAGAAAUGGGUUAUAGAGAAAGAUGAUACGAGUAAAUGAUCUCUUCCAAUUCAUUCUUUUUCUUUUCUUUUUUUUUUUUUUAAAUCAUGGAGGAAUAUUUCUUGCCAGAUUUAUUUUUGAAAUUAUUCCAGUUAUAAUUUCUUUUAAGAUAUUUCUUUUUAAAAGCCCUUUAAAAAAACACAAAAUGUAAUUCCUAUAAUGAUAGCUUGAAAUAGAAACAGCCAUCAAUCACAUGAUGACUAUUUAGAAAAACCUCUGUUCGUGGGCCACUUUAUGAAGUUUUUCUGUUCUAUAAACUAGGGGUAUGUGUGCACAACACUGCUUACAUUUUAAAACAAGUUCAAGUUAAAAGAAACCCAUUUGUUCUGCGUUGGUGUCCCCCCCAGGAGCUCUAGGUCGUUCUGGCUGAUGUGAGGGCUGCAGGGAGAGGUGUCGCUGCAGCUCGUACGCCCUGCGUGCUUCUGCUCACUUUCACUUCCUGCCUAAGCAGCAGCACCUCACAUGGACCACAGAAGGCUUCCUGGAAGACAUGCCCUAUUGCACGUGAGGAUUCAAGAGCCAACUGGGCCCCGGUGGAUGCCAUGGAACCAGCUGGCAGACCUGCGACUGUGGAGAGCUCUCCUCAUGCUCAGCUUGGCAAAGCUGCUCCUCUUGCUUGUUCUCCUUUUCUUUGUACAUAAUAAAAUGGGCUUUUGAUUACUCUUCUCCCCAGAAAAUAUACAUAUAUAUGCUGUUUGGUGGAAGACUUGAGUCCACUGUUGAACAGAAAUGUGUCUUUCUGUCUGUUUCUCUCUGCUUCCAGUUUCUCAAUCUCUGUCUCCCCUUUCCUCUUGUAUCCCAAGGAUUCUGUUAUAAAAGCUUGUGUGUGAGAACGAGACCUUUGUUCUCUAGACUUCUUGCUGUGUGCAAUUCACAAUUCCCUUUCUGCCCUUGGCCUUCCUUCAGAUCUUCACAGUUGUCUUCCUCUUUUUUAAGCCA
rnacentral:lncRNA from 1 species